ensembl:lncRNA LINC02910 long intergenic non-protein coding RNA 2910
GGUUACUUCAUCAGUUCCUGGGUGUUGAUCGGCAGGAAACAGUGGUUUCCUGUUCAUAUCCUGCCUGAGCCUGGGCCGGGUGGAGGUGUCCUGCAUGGAGUCUUGUGAAAUCGCGUGGACUGCAACACCCAGCAGCGCGCCGCCCUGGGUCCUGCCACUGAGCAGCUGUUGGUAGGCUCUGCUGUGAGGUCUCCUCUUCCGGCUUUCCCACUUCCCAAGGUUAGGUUGGCCCAUGGGCUGGAGCGUCUGCGUCUUGGUCGGCCCGGCAGUGUACAUGUCAAGCAGCGCGCAAAGACUCCACAGCCAUUCGUAGGCACUGCUGGCCUCAUGCUCCAGACAGCCCUGGGACAAUGGGCCACCAAGGGAAAUCAAUGAUUGCGUGGGCGCAGGUGACCUCCAGCCUGCUUCAGGGCCACCCUUGUUCCCCAUGCCAACUCCCUCCUUCCUAUGGGCUCCCAAGAAAUGGGUGGCAGAGACCAGCCUGGUGAUUUACCUCCUGCCUUUCCGUGACUUCCUCCCAGUCCUGUGCAUCUCAUGUUUAAUUAUGAGGCUGUGGAAGGUGGUGAUAUUAAUUAUAGGGCUGAGGUUGUGUUACUUGGAGAAAGUCAGUGCACAUGUCAUUUGAUUUUCCUCAAGAAGGAAAACUGUAUUUUUUCCGAUCUCAAAAAUAAUUCCAGGGAAAUAAAUGUGUACAAUCACACUUUGGGGUUUAAAACUAACGAGUUUCAGUUUUAAAACAUGUUAAAAACCUUUCUAUUUGGAGAAAGCUGGAAGAAUCCACUUUGGGGAUCUGGCGGUUCUCAGGAGCUGUAUUACCUCGGGAUGGUCUCACUGGUUGGUAGCAGCUUUUGUAUGAGGAGGGGCAUGGGGUCCCGACUUAGGCAGAGAAGGCUUUGCUGAAGAGGUGCAAAGCCCAGCUUAGGGCUGGGUUUUCUACAGACCAGGAACAAAAGCAUUGCUUGGCAAGAUUUCUUCUCUGCUCAGAGAAAACACGCAGAUUCCAAAGAGUGAGAUGGAGAGAAUUUGACAUGUCUUGGUUUGAAAAUAAGUCAAAAGAAGUCUAAUAUUAACAAUAGCAAUAAUAAUAACAACCAUUAAUUGUGCCUGCGUUAGGUACCAGGCCCUAUUCUAAGUGUUGUGAGUGCCCUCUGUCAUUUAAUCUCCACGGAGUCCUGAAGGUGCUUCCCAGGUUUGUCCCCAUCACACAGAUGAGGCAAUCGUUCUGUUAAGACUGUCCUUGGGUCAUUAUGUCAGCAAUGAAAUCGGUGCUGCCAUUACUAAA